rnacentral:rRNA from 1 species
UACAGAGGUCUCAAGCGUUGUUCGGAUUCAUUGGGCGUAAAGGGUGUGUAGGUGGCGCGCUAAGUCGGGUGUGAAAUUUCGGAGCUUAGCUCCGAAACUGCAUUCGAUACUGGCGUGCUUGAGGACUGGAGAGGAGACUGGAAUUCAUGGUGUAGCAGUGAAAUGCGUAGAGAUCAUGAGGAAGACCAGUGGCGAAGGCGGGUCUCUGGACAGUUCCUGACACUGAGACACGAAGGCCAGGGGAGCAAACGGG